rnacentral:rRNA from 1 species
UGGGGAAUAUUGCACAAUGGGCGGAAGCCUGAUGCAGCGACGCCGCGUGGGGGAUGAAGGCCUUCGGGUUGUAAACUCCUUUCGACAGGGACGACGCUUUUGUGACGGUACCUGUAUAAGAAGCACCGGCUAACUACGUGCCAGCAGCCGCGGUAAUACGUAGGGUGCGAGCGUUGUCCGGAAUUACUGGGCGUAAAGAGCUCGUAGGUGGUUUGUCGCGUCGUCUGUGAAAUUCCGGGGCUUAACUCCGGGCGUGCAGGCGAUACGGGCUGACUUGAGUGCUGUAGGGGAGACUGGAAUUCCUGGUGUAGCGGUGAAAUGCGCAGAUAUCAGGAGGGACACCGAUGGCGAAGGCACGUCUCUGGGCAGUAACUGACGCUGAGGAGCGAAAGCAUGGGUAGCGAACAGG